rnacentral:rRNA from 1 species
ACGGCGAGUGAAGCGGCAAUAGCUCAAAUUUGAAAUCUGGCUCCUCCGGGGUCCGAGUUGUAAUUUGCAGAGGAUGUUUCGGGUGCGGCCCGGUCCAAGUCCCUUGGAACAGGGUGUCACAGAGGGUGAGAAUCCCGUAUGUGACCGGCGUCCAACCCCGUACGAAACGCCUUCGACGAGUCGAGUUGUUUGGGAAUGCAGCUCAAAAUGGGUGGUAAAUUUCAUCUAAAGCUAAAUACCGGCCAGAGACCGAUAGCGCACAAGUAGAGUGAUCGAAAGAUGAAAAGCACUUUGGAAAGAGAGUUAAAAAGUACGUGAAAUUGUUGAAAGGGAAGCGCUAGCGACCAGACCUGCCCCGGGUGAUCAACGGCUGUUCUCAGCCGUGCACUCGCCCGAGAUCAGGCCAGCAUCGGUUUCGGCGGUCGGAUAAAGACCUGAGGAACGUGGCUCCCCCCGGGGAGUGUUAUAGCCUCUCGUGCAAUGCGGCCAGCCGGGACCGAGGACCGCGCUUCGGCUAGGAUGCUGGCGUAAUGGUCGUUAGCGACC